rnacentral:rRNA from 1 species
UACGAAGGGUGCAAGCGUUAAUCGGAAUUACUGGGCGUAAAGCGUGCGUAGACGGUUGCGUAAGUCAGAUGUGGAAAGCCCCGGGCUCAACCUGGGAAUUGCAUUCGAUACUGGAUAGCUAGAGUUCGGCAGAGGGAAGCGGAAUUUCGGGUGUAGCGGUGAAAUGCGUAGAUAUCCGAAGGAACAUCAGUGGCGAAAGCGGCUCCUGGACCAGAACUGACGAUCAGGCACGAAAGCGUGGGGAGCAAACAGG